ACGGGUGAGUAACACGUGGGAACGUACCCUUCGGUUCGGAAUAACGCUGGGAAACUAGCGCUAAUACCGGAUACGCCCUUAUGGGGAAAGGUUUACUGCCGAAGGAUCGGCCCGCGUCUGAUUAGCUAGUUGGUGGGGUAAUGGCCUACCAAGGCGACGAUCAGUAGCUGGUCUGAGAGGAUGAUCAGCCACACUGGGACUGAGACACGGCCCAGACUCCUACGGGAGGCAGCAGUGGGGAAUAUUGGACAAUGGGCGCAAGCCUGAUCCAGCCAUGCCGCGUGAGUGAUGAAGGCCUUAGGGUUGUAAAGCUCUUUUGUCCGGGACGAUAAUGACGGUACCGGAAGAAUAAGCCCCGGCUAACUUCGUGCCAGCAGCCGCGGUAAUACGAAGGGGGCUAGCGUUGCUCGGAAUCACUGGGCGUAAAGGGCGCGUAGGCGGCCAUUCAAGUCGGGGGUGAAAGCCUGUGGCUCAACCACAGAAUUGCCUUCGAUACUGUUUGGCUUGAGUAUGGCAGAGGUCAGUGGAACUGCGAGUGUAGAGGUGAAAUUCGUAGA
rnacentral:rRNA from 2 species